CCUACGGGUGGCAGCAGUCGAGAAUCAUUCACAAUGGGGGAAACCCUGAUGGUGCGACGCCGCGUGGGGGAAUGAAGGUCUUCGGAUUGUAAACCCCUGUCAUGUGGGAGCAAAUUAAAAAGAUAGUACCACAAGAGGAAGAGACGGCUAACUCUGUGCCAGCAGCCGCGGUAAUACAGAGGUCUCAAGCGUUGUUCGGAAUCACUGGGCGUAAAGCGUGCGAAGGCUGUUUCGUAAGUCGUGUGUGAAAGGCGCGGGCUCAACCCGCGGACGGCACAUGAUACUGCGAGACUAGAGUAAGGGAGGGGGAACCGGAAUGCUCGGUGUAGCAGUGAAAUGCGUAGAUAUCGAGAGGAACACUCGUGGCGAAGGCGGGUUCCUGGACAUUAACUGACGCUAAGGCACGAAGGCCAGGGGAGCGAAAGGGAUUAGAUACCCGAGUAGUC
rnacentral:rRNA from 1 species